rnacentral:lncRNA from 1 species
ACAUCAGGGGACUCAGAAGUUUCUUGAGUUCCAUCUAACUGAUUGCUGCUGACAGAUGGACUGAAGGCACUUUCUCCAGAGCCGAUGCUGCUCGAGGUUGAGUGGGUUUGUGAUCAGGUAAGCCAGGUCAUGCUGGCAGAUGGGAUGUAGCCCACUCCCUGCAAAAAGUACUUAAAGGCCUCGGUGAGCUUCCCUGGGCUGAACUACUUGGGGUAGUCCACCACAGUCUGCCGUCUUUAGCAAGGUUGUAUUUACAGGAUCCAGGUGAGAACUGCAUUCAACCACAGCCUCAACUCCAGGUGAAUUGUCACCUACCACCAAUAAAGUAGAACAGUUUAAUGUUUUUGAUUUGUUACCAUUUUGUCCCAGGAUGGGUCUUCAAUCUCCAAGUCUUUGUAUCUGUUAUAAGAACUCAGGAAGAGCUAUAGGUUUUCUUGGUUGAUAUCUUGGGUAAUACGCAGUCUGUAGGUUUGAAUCAGGUUCAGGUUGGCUUGCAAUUCUUCUUGCCCAAAGUGAUGAGCCAAAAUAAUGUCCACAACAUUGGUUGUCAAUCCUGAGAGUUUGGAAGCUGCCCAGUCAAUCCAGCCUUUAGCACAAGGGUCAACAUUAACGAGCACGAGACCUUCCACAAGCUUUGGGUGAUUGAGAGCAAAUCUGCUGAGGAUGUAAGCUCCAACUCCAACCCCAGUGAUGCUUUUGGAAUUUAAGUGGGUGAGAACAGAAGGUAGCAUUUGGGCCCGCUCAUCCAUUGUGGGGUACUGGUACCCAGUUGGGAAAGAGGGUGCACCUUCCUUCUGGUCUGGGGCAUCCACAUGACAGACAGCAAAGUGCUGGGUGAUUUCUUGCAUAUCCUCAAAGUUAAAGAAUGCAUUGAAACAGGAUUUAUGAUUGAGGCCAAUGUAUGGUAUAUCCAAUAAAUGGUCUGUUUCCCUUUGGUAAGCCUCUUAUAGUGACAUGGACCAUCCAUGAGUUGUUUCUACAUCAUGUUCCUUGGAUUUUAUUCUCACCCUUUCUCAAAUGAUCUCCUUCUAGGUAAAUUAUAUCAAAUAUUAACAGCAAUCCAGUUCAACUGGUUCAACCUGACAGUCAAAGUCCUGGAAGUUUCGUGUACCAUUCUUAUCAUUUAGAAGUAGUUUGAUCUCUGUGAGUUGAACAUCCUGAAAUUCAUCCAUGAGGACAAAUGAAUCAGUAACUCUGAGGCUCCAGCAGCUGCUGUCAGUGCAGCAGCCCCGGCAGUGCAAGUUGGGCGGGAGAGGCUCUGCAGGUACCCAUCUUUGAAAACAAAGCCAACCAUGAAGAUAAUUUAGAGUAGAUUUGCACAAAGUGUUAGGAAGAAGGAUGAGUCUUAAAUAUAUAUUUCACAGAUACACAGAACAAAUUAGUGGUUACCAGUGGGGAGAGGGGAGAGUGGAAGGGCAAGAUGGGGGAGGGGAUGAAGGGGUGCA